AGUGGCAGACGGGUGAGUAACGCGUGGGAAUCUACCCAAGGGUUCGGGAUAACUGAGGGAAACUUCAGCUAAUACCGGAUACGUCCUCCGGGAGAAAGAUUUAUCGCCCCUGGAUGAGCCCGCGUCGGAUUAGCUAGUUGGCGGGGUAAAAGCCCACCAAGGCUUCGAUCCGUAGCUGGUCUGAGAGGAUGAUCAGCCACACUGGAACUGAGAUACGGUCCAGAUUCCUACGGGAGGCAGCAGUGAGGAAUAUUGGACAAUGGGCGCAAGCCUGAUCCAGCCAUGCCGCGUGAGUGAAGAAGGCCUUAGGGUUGUAAAGCUCUUCCGCUAGUGACGAUAAUGACGGUAACUAGAGAAGAAGCCCCGGCUAAUUUCGUGCCAGCAGCCGCGGUAAUACGAAAGGGGCUAGCGUUGUUCGGAAUUACUGGGCGUAAAGCGCGCGUAGGCGGCCACGUAAGUUGGGGGUGAAAGCCCGGAGCUCAACUCCGGAAUUGCCUUCAAGACUGCGUAGCUCGAGUGCGGGAGAGGAGAGCGGAAUUCCCAGUGUAGAGGUGAAAUUCGUAGAUAUUGGGAAGAACACCGGUGGCGAAGGCGGCUCUCUGGCCCGUUUCUGACGCUGAGGCGCGAAAGCGUGGGGAGCAAACAGGAUUAGAUACCCUGGUAGUCCACGCCGUAAACGAUGGAUGCUAGUUGUCG
rnacentral:rRNA from 1 species